UGUGUUUAACAUUCAUUGAUUCACAUGCUAUACUUAAAUUUCAAGUGUGUUAAAUUUCCUUAGCAUUUCAUUCAAAAUACAUUUUAAGUAAUACAUCAGUUGUAUUUUUUUCCUGGAGCAAUCUGUUAUUCUCGUGCAAUUAAACCAAUUAACAAAUAAACUGACCUAAUGUUCAUCUCAAUGUCAAAAGCUGACCAUGGAGAAGGGUGCUGGUAAUUUGAUAGGGCUAUUUAAGCCAAUCUACAGAUGCUAUCUGUAACUCUCUGGAAUUCCAUGUUGUUAUAACUUCGCGCUCUGAUCUGAAAUUCUGUGAGAGACAUUUUAGUAGGAGUAGUAGCCUGGCUCCCUGACUGCAUGGUUAUUUUUUAUAUAAAUACUGCAAGCAAAAUAAGAAAAUCUUAAGCCUCUAAAAUAGCACAUUUUUAUCCGAAGGCUGAACCAUACCUAUGUUUGGAGCCAGGGGCAAUACAAUGGCAAUGUAAAAACAACCUGCUGAAGUUACUUUCCUCUUUAUGAAUAAACAUAUAUAUGUAAAUAAGAACAAACAUAGGGACAGGAGCCAGUCUAUAGGAGUAGCUACAUUUUAGCCGUCCUGGGACAAAGUGAGGUCUAACCGUCAUAAAUCAUGUCAAUUGAAGAGUAUUUAUGUACACAAACCUGGGAAAGACGGCAAGGUUGACUAUACCGUGGCUACUUUGGUCAAUAUCCUGCAAUUUACAACCUGCUUCCGGCGAUGAUUUAGGAUCAAAGUUACACACUUAUAUACUAGAUUAAUGGAAAUAAGUAACGCGCACUCAAACUUCAACGUAAUAGUGUGAAAAUGAAAUAAUUUGGAUACAAGGUUUUCAAAAUCAGAAACGAAGCAAGAAGAACUUUUCUGAGGCUUAAGUGUUGAAGUUCAGUUGUGAUUGUCAUGCCCUAGGAUAUGCUAAUGGAUUAAUGGAGAAGAACGUCUGGAUUCAGAUACAGAAAGUAACAUGGUAGACAUGUACAUAUUUAAAGCAAGUGGAAACCUUUAAAAGAACGAACAACUAAACUAAGAAUUAUGUGCACAUCAUAGGAUAUUGACGUCAAUGGAAACAAAAUGUUUGUACUAGUUGAUCGCAGGAAUAUUGAUGAAAACGUUAAAAGACAUUCAGUGAUAGGGAUGAAGUGGAGGCCUUAUCGAUAAACAAAGAGUCCCCAGUUCAGGAAAUGGUACAGCGCUGAGAGUAUUUUGAAAGUUAAGAAAGGUGAAAUGUAUAAAGUGAGAUUUCAUGAAGAUGGUUCCUAGUAAGUCCGGAAUAUGGCUCGUAUUCGAAGAAAAAAUGUGAUUGUUUGUAAAAGCAGUUUACAUGAAAUAUAGUUUGAGCUUUUAAUCAAAAUGUUGUUCUUUCUUUAUAUUCAACGGAUGUUUUUUUGUAGUGCAAGUUAGCAUAACCUUAAAAAGAGAUGCAGGCAAACCUGUGUUAAAGACCACCUCUGAACAGAGGCCACCUGACUCUAAAGACCACAUGUUUUGUUUCCAGUUAUAACAUUUAUUUAGCCUGUGACUACCUCCAAAUAAAGACCACAUUUUGGCUCUACCUAGUCUUGUCUUUAUAGACAGGUUUGAAAGUAUAUGUAAAAGUACACUCGAAGUUUUAUCUAGCAUUAGUGCAGUGACCGACCCAUAAAUUUUGGUCUGUCCGUUUGUCUCUCUGUAUGUCACAAAGUUUAAAUGUGCAUAUCGUGUGAAACAGCAAUGCGGAUUCACACCAGUUCAUUGUUUUGUGAUCAGAGUUUUAUAAUACUUUAUAUUCUAAUGGGCCCGCUUUUACCAAACUUUACAUGACUGGCCAGUGCCUAUAAUUUUCAUUGGAGUUAUGGCCUUAAUUUGUCAUAUCUUACCCCGUAUUGGCAAGCUCAUUUUAAGCGAUAUCUAUAUACUAGCACGUGUUUAUACCAAGCUGCGAAAUCUCUAUAUUCAUGUAGUUAUCAUGUACAUUUUUUCGCUGAUGAAGUAAAUGUAAUAAAUAUACACUUUUAUUUAAUAAUAAUAUAUAUUUAUCCACAAUUAAAGUGUAGACCUGUACCAUUGA
rnacentral:lncRNA from 1 species